rnacentral:lncRNA from 1 species
AUUCUUACAACAUGAUCUCAAAGUAAUACUAUCAUGAUUGCCUUUUUACUUAUGUUCAAGUCAAGUUGUUUUCCCGAGUCACAGUCACUAAAUUAUUUAUAUCUAGAGUUAUGGAACUUCAAAUUAAAUUUCACUAAUUUUCCUAGAAACUAGACUCACAUAUAUUCUUGCCAUAAAAUUUUCAUAAUUUUUGGUUUAGCCAAUUAGUACAGUUUAAUCUUCAAAGCCAC